GCCGAGAUAGCUCAGUCGGUAGAGCAAUUGAUUCGUAAUCAGUAGGUCAGGGGUUCGAGUCCCCUUCUCGGCU
rnacentral:tRNA from 1 species